rnacentral:rRNA from 1 species
UAGGGAAUCUUCGGCAAUGGGGGGAACCCUGACCGAGCAACGCCGCGUGAGUGAAGAAGGUUUUCGGAUCGUAAAGCUCUGUUGUUAAGGAAGAACGAGUGUGAGAAUGGAAAGUUCAUGCUGUGACGGUACUUAACCAGAAAGGGACGGCUAACUACGUGCCAGCAGCCGCGGUAAUACGUAGGUCCCGAGCGUUGUCCGGAUUUAUUGGGCGUAAAGCGAGCGCAGGCGGUCAAUUAAGUCUGAUGUGAAAGCCCCCGGCUCAACCGGGGAGGGUCAUUGGAAACUGGUUGACUUGAGUGCAGAAGAGGAGAGUGGAAUUCCAUGUGUAGCGGUGAAAUGCGUAGAUAUAUGGAGGAACACCAGUGGCGAAGGCGACUCUCUGGUCUGUAACUGACGCGGAGGCUCGAAAGCGUGGGUAGCAAACAGG